GUCCAGAGUCAGACAGUGCACAGUCACGUGUGUAUAUCAUGUGACUUCCUGUGUCCCCUAUCUGACGCUUAAGACUGCUGUGUUGCUGUGUAUUCAGUGACAGAGGGGAGGGAAGAGACGAGUUGGGGAGAGGCACCACUGUGCUUCUGUCUUCCACCUGACAUGGGCAGCGGCCAGGAGCAAGGAGGAGAGAGGAGGGGGGCGUGACACACAGGACAGGAGGAGAUCUGAUCAUACUGCCGGUGCCGCUGCCUGAGGCUGUCACAGUGUGACAGGUGCAGCGACAUGGCGCAUCAGCAAGGUAGCAGAGCGGGGAAGGCGCCUCUCCGCCCUGGCGCCUCCCUGCUUUGCGGACCUUGCUGAGCGGUUAGCGCCGGCUCUGCGUGCUGGGAAGAUGGCCCUGUUCAAUACCCUAACUUGUUGGAGAUCUCACCGUUGCAGCCAUACUCCAGCACUCUGGGAAGUCGGAGCCUGUCAAGCAAGUACCACCGAGACUGCUUUCAGUGAGGAGGGGGAGGAGGAUCCAUGCAAAGACAGAGGACUCAAGGCGCUUUACAGACAUCAAAAACAAUGCACAUGAUACAGAGGAUUUGAGUAAUACAACAAUUGACAAGCAACAGACAUAAAAGAAAACCUUAAGCCCACAGAAAGCAUAACGCAGGAUUGGUGCAGGCAUUUUGGGUAAUAACUUCCAAGGGUUGUGUAUUCCACCCUCACAAGGUACCAGGUGCAGCAGCCAUCUUAGGCGCUCGGCGUAGGAUUACCCAGGGUGGGAUAGUCCACCCCUAGAAGUGAUGACAAGAAAUGGGGGUGAUUUCAGAGUCCUACAGUUCAGAGUAGGGUUCCAUCAAAACCAUCAGGCCUAUGUAUUUUUCAUCCCAUCCACAAGUGUACCAUAUGGGGCAGCCAUGUUGGGCGCACUUUGGAGGUUACACUGUGGGAGGUGAGCCAUACAAGGGCCAUGGUCAUAUAUGGGAAAACUGAUGCUUAUGUAGUAGUAUGAUGUACCCUGCAUGUAGGGCACAAUGGAAAGGUGUGCAAUCAGGGGAGGUAAACAUUACAGGAAAAACACAUGGUGGGGUGGAAGCGAGCAAUGGAGGGAAAAAAAAAAUAGCAGGUAACUAGUGGCAGAGUAGGAUUGGGCUAACAUUUUGAUCAGAUCUUAGUACGGGUGGGUAGGAGAAUGUGGGGGGCAUACUCAAUAUGCCCCCCACAGGAAAACACCUUCUUUAUUAGGGACUUGUGACACCUUAAGAUUGUUCAAAAUCAGUUUAAAUAUACUGAGAAAUUGAAUAUGAACAAUAUAUUGUCUAGCGUAUGACACUCUGUUACAAUAUUCAGGUGUUGCCAAUAUAUAACACUCUGUUUUAAUAUUCAGUAUACAUACUAUCUUUGUCGCUAGAGGGAAAGCACCUUCCAUAUUAGGGACUGAUGAUACCUUAAAGCUUGUUCAGAAUCAACUGAAAUAUGCUGAGAUGCAGUCAGUUAGAAUUCAGAUAAUGUAUUGUUAGGUGUAUGACACACUAUUGUGAUGUCCGGAUGUUCUCACUGUUCAAAUAUAUAACAUUCAAUUAUGAUAUUGGAGUGUACACACUAUUAUUAUCCCUAGAAGGACACCACCCUCUUUAUCUGGGACUGGUGACACUUUCAAGUUAUUCAGAAUCAAUUCAUAUAUAUUAAGACAUUCAUCUUAGUAUGUUAUCAGAUUGAAUAUGGGUGACACAAUAUCAUAUAUUUGAUGAUCUACUGUGGUAAUCUGGUGUACACACUAUUACUGUCCCUAGAAGAAAGGCACCUUCAUUAUUAAGGACUGGUGACACCUCCCCAAAACUCAAUUCACUCCCUUAUCGGGGUUCAUAGUGUUUCUACCAGUAAAGGGAAAAACACCUUCAUUAUUUAACAGCAAUGAUAUCUUCCUAAUUGGUAGUAUAUAUUGAACCAAUCGAUUGUGUGUCAUCACCCAACAUUUCACUAAGUUACUAUACAGAGAAUUCUGUUACUUUAUUGUGUACAGAUAGCAUCCGUUUUAAAUAAAGAUUUGAUUAUUGUGGCUCAUAUAGAACGUGACUGCAGUGUGUAUUUUCUGAAU